GUGCCAGCCGCCGCGGUAAUACGGAAGGUCCGAGCGUUAUCCGGAUUUAUUGGGUUUAAAGGGAGCGCAGCGGAGAGGCAAGCCAGCCGUAAAAUCGUUGAGCUCAACUCAAUCUCGCGGUUGGAACUGCUUCCCUUGAGUGCACGAGAGGAUGGUGGAAUUCGUGGUGUAGCGGUGAAAUGCAUAGAUAUCACGAAGAACUCCGAUUGCGAAGGCAGCCAUCUGGCGUGUUACUGACGCUCAUGCUCGAAGGCGCGGGUAUCAAACAGGAUUAGAUACCCUGGUAGUCCGCGCAGUAAACGAUGAAUGCUCGCGAUGUGGUAGUUAUAUUGCGUCGCCAAGCGAAAGCGUUAAGCAUUCCACCUGGGGAGUACGCCGGCAACGGUGAAACUCAAAGGAAUUGACGGGGGCCCGCACAAGCGGAGGAACAUGUGGUUUAAUUCGAUGAUACGCGAGGAACCUUACCCGGGCUUGAAAUGUGACCGACAGACCCAGAGACGGGUCCCUCCUUCGGGCGGUCAUGUAGGUGCUGCAUGGUUGUCGUCAGCUCGUGCCGUGAGUGUCGGCUUAAGUGCCAUAACGAGCGCAACCCCUCCCGCCGGUUACCAUCAAGUUAAGUUGGGGACUCCGGCGGCACUGCACCGCAAGGUGCGAGGAAGGCGGGGAUGACGUCAAAUCAGCACGGCCCUUACGUCCGGGGCCACACACGUGUUACAAUGGGGGGCACAGAGAGUGGCGCAUGGGCAUGCGUCGAAUCAGUAAAUCCCCUCCCAGUUCGGACUGGAGUCUGCAACCCGACUCCACGAAGCUGGAUUCGCUAGUAAUCGCGCAUCAGCCAUGGCGCGGUGAAUACGUUCCCGGGCCUUGUACACACCGCCCGU
rnacentral:rRNA from 1 species